rnacentral:rRNA from 1 species
GCUACGGGUGGCUGCAGUGGGGAAUAUUGCACAAUGGGGGAAACCCUGAUGCAGCAACGCCGCGUGAGUGAUGACGGCCUUCGGGUUGGAAAGCUCUGUCUUCAGGGACGAGAAGGACGGUACCAGAGGAGGAAGCCACGGCUAACUACGUGCCAGCAGCCGCGGGAAUACGUAGGGGGCGAGCUUUGUCCGGAUUUACUGGGCGUAAAGGGAGCGUAGGCGGUCUUGUAAGGGAGAUGUGAAAUACUCGGGCUCCACUUGAGGGCUGCAUUUCAAACUGGCAGUCUAGAGUGCAGGAGGGGCGAUUGGCCUUCCUCGUGUAGCGGUGACAUGCGUAGAGAUUAGGAAGAACACCAGUGGCGAAGGCGAUUCUCUGGACUGUACCUGCCGCUGAGGCUC